GACGAACGCUGGCGGCGUGCUUAACACAUGCAAGUCGAACGGAAAGGCCCCGCUUUUGUGGGGUGCUCGAGUGGCGAACGGGUGAGUAACACGUGAGUAACCUGCCCUUGACUUUGGGAUAACUUCAGGAAACUGGGGCUAAUACCGGAUAGGAGCUCCUGCUGCAUGGUGGGGGUUGGAAAGUUUCGGCGGUUGGGGAUGGACUCGCGGCUUAUCAGCUUGUUGGUGGGGUAGUGGCUUACCAAGGCUUUGACGGGUAGCCGGCCUGAGAGGGUGACCGGCCACAUUGGGACUGAGAUACGGCCCAGACUCCUACGAGAGGCAGCAGUGGGGAAUAUUGCACAAUGGGCGGAAGCCUGAUGCAGCAACGCCGCGUGCGGGAUGACGGCCUUCGGGUUGUAAACCGCUUUCGCCUGUGACGAAGCGUGAGUGACGGUAAUGGGUAAAGAAGCACCGGCUAACUACGUG
rnacentral:rRNA from 1 species